rnacentral:lncRNA from 1 species
GAGCGAGGCGGCGCGAGCGGGUCUCGGGGUCCGCGGUCGGGGUGGCGGGGUUGCCGGGCCUCCUCCGUCCCGGGAACGGGGCCUUUGGAAGCCGUCCGACCCGAGGCCGGCAAGGACCGGAGGCCGAGGGAGCCCUGCCUGCCCGAGUGCAGCCCGCGGGGGCGGCUUUCUGGGCGCGCCUCCUGACGCGGGCGGGGAGUAGUGUUGCCUGGCGAGUGUGGACGCGACGUGGGCAGCGCGUGGUCGCCGGUGCAGUCGGGCGGUCCCUUCAGGCGGACGGCGGGGAGUUCUGAGAAGUCCCUCUCGUUGGAGGACCCCUUGCUCCCAUAAGUACUUGCCUAUUCUGGCAAUCACAUGGACAUUGGAUGCUAACCAUUGGCGCUGACCUGUCACAGGACAUCCCAGGAGGACGUUGUGCAGCCGUGUGCCUCAUCCUGCCUGACUUCUCAUGCCUGGUCUACUGUGGAUGCCAUAUAUGGAGCAGUCACAACCCAGGUUCUGGAGUCUGGCCACUGGGGGUUCAGGUCUUCACUCUACUACUUCCCUCUUGUUUGAGCUCAGGUAAGUCACUUAAUCUGUCUGUGCUGCUAGUUUGCUGCUUGAUGAUCCAUCCCAUUUUUUCAUUUACUUAGCAUAACUAUGGGAAGUCCAUUGUUUGAUUGCAUCUUCUAGUUUUGCUUUACUCAGGAAAUCCUAAAUUUUAGUCACAGUAUAGUCAGUGUUUUGGUGUAUUAUGUGUAUUGCUGUGUAACAAAUUAGCCCCAAAUCCAGCAAAUUAAAACAGUACAUGUGUUAUUUCAUAGUAGUUGUUCCCCAUGAGUCAGGAAUGUGGGAAGGGCUUAGCUGGGUCCUCUGCUUUGGGAUUUACUUUUUUUUUUUAAGAUUUUUUAUUUACUUAUUCAUGAGAGACACACAGAGAGAGGCAGAGACAUAAGCAGAGGGAGAAGCAGGCUCCAUGCAGGGAGCCCGAUGUGGGACUCCAUCCCAGGACCCUGGGAUCAUGACCUGAGCCAAAGGCAGACGCUCAACCACUGAGCCACCCAGGCAUCCUUGUUUUGGGAUUUCUGAAAAGAUUGCAAUCAAUGGUGUUAUCUGAAGGCUCAGCUGGGGAAGAGUCUGCUUCCAACAUUAUAUGACUGUUGAUAUGAUUCUGUGUUUCAGUGGUGGUUGGAUGCAGGCCUCCCUCUGCACAUUGCCAUUUGCUUCAUCAAAACUGGUAAGAGAGACAUUCUAUAAGCAACAUGAAGGCCGCCAUGUCUUGUACCUUGAUGCUGCACAGUAAAGAAUCUGUCUGGUCCUGACUCCUGUUCCUGGGAUAUAGCCUCUAAAUCCUGAGAAUUCCCUGAGCUGUCGGGUAGGAAUGUCUUGUUACUCAUGGCAGCCCCUCUACCAUGUCACAUUUCUGUUGAUGAGAUGACCCAGGGUGCACAGUUUAGAAGACCAACCACAUGAUGAGGGGUUGGGACUUUAGCUUGACCUCCUGUGGGGAAAACUUUGGAGAUGGAGCCUGGCCCACCAGUAGCUGAUGGUAAAGCAACCAUGCAGACGAGGAAAACUCCAGUAAGAACUCUGGACGCUAAGCUCAGGUGAGUCCAUCUAUGUGUCCCAAUUCCACAGGGAGAAGAUGAGGGAAGUCUGUAUUAGUGAUCCUCUCCAGCUUUGCCCUGUCCUAAUUUGUAUGCAUCACAAUAAAGCAGUAACUGUAAGUACUUUUUUGAGUUCUGUGAGUCACUCUAGUGAACAUUGAACCUGAGAAGUAGUGAGAUUGCCUGGAUGUGGAGCCAGUUGCUCAGAAGUGCUAAGGGCUCGGGGACCCCAAACUUGUGGCUGCAUUUAAAGUGCGGGUGACCUGGUGGCCUGCGCUCUUACAUCUACAGAAUCUGUGCUCCUCGAAGGUGUCUGGUGUCCUAUUGCAGUAUUGCACCUUAUCUUGCAGGGACAUUCCCCUACCCUGUUCUGUGGGUUGGAAGCAUGACCCAAGACAUCCUACACUGCAGGGAAAGGGGAUCACAUGUGGGCAUGGACACCAGGAAAGGAGAAAGCCAGAGCGCCUCAGAAGCUUUCCAUCACAGUCACAGUAGCCCAUGGGAUGUGGUGACUUGUCUUAGAACACAUCUGCAUUCAUUAGACGCCCAUGAGAUCACAGAUGAUGGAGUUUUAAUGGGUUUCAUGUAGCCGAGUUUCGUUGUCUUGUUUUACAGAUUUGAAAAGUCAGGUUUGGUGAAUGCAGGUGUCUCACUUGAGAGCAUAUGUAAAGAGCUAGUGCUCAGGUGAGGACAGGAGCCUCAUGCUUUUCCGUACACCAUGCUGUGAUUUAAUCCAGCCACAAAGUCAGUUGGAACUGUUGUAGAUAAAUAGUUACAUCCCUUAAAGCACAUCUACAUAUAUGGAGUCCUUUAUAGACACAGAAAAACACCAAGGAUAGGAAGAUUCAGGUAGGGUCCAAGAUUUUGGAAGGCAAAGAUUUUAACUGGCAGAAAAUUGUAAAGGCUCUUUGUUUCCUGCACGUGAUGCAUUGAUUUAAAAAAAAUUUUUUUUAAGAUUUUAUUUAUUUAUUUGAG